rnacentral:rRNA from 1 species
UACGAAGGGGGCUAGCGUUGCUCGGAAUCACUGGGCGUAAAGGGUGCGUAGGCGGGACUUUAAGUCAGGGGUGAAAUCCUGGAGCUCAACUCCAGAACUGCCUUUGAUACUGAGGAUCUUGAGUUCGGGAGAGGUGAGUGGAACUGCGAGUGUAGAGGUGAAAUUCGUAGAUAUUCGCAAGAACACCAAUGGCGAAGGCAGCUUGCUGGGACGGUACUGACGCUGAGGCGCGAAAGCGUGGGGAGCAAACAGG